CCUACGGGUGGCAGCAGUGAGGAAUAUUGGUCAAUGGCCGCAGGGCUGAACCAGCCAAGUCGCGUGAGGGAUGACGGUCCUAUGGAUUGUAAACCUCUUUUGUCAGGGAGCAAAGGGCGCCACGUGUGGCGCUUUGCGAGUACCUGAAGAAAAAGCAUCGGCUAACUCCGUGCCAGCAGCCGCGGUAAUACGGAGGAUGCGAGCGUUAUCCGGAUUUAUUGGGGUUAAAGGGUGCGCAGGCGGAAUGUCAAGUCAGCGGUAAAAUUUCGGGGCUAAACCCCGUCGUGCCGUUGAAACUGGCUUUCUUGAGUGAGCGAGAAGUAUGCGGAAUGCGUGGUGUAGCGGUGAAAUGCAUAGAUAUCACGAAGAACUCCGAUUGCGAAGGCAGCAUACCGGCGCUCAACUGACGCUCAUGCACGAAAGCGUGGGUAUCGAACAGGAUUAGAUACCCCUGUAGUC
rnacentral:rRNA from 1 species